CCAGCACCUCAACCCAAGGCCACUGUUGCCGUGGCAGCGGCCGAAAGCGCAGGUGCCACAGCGAGCCGACCCCGUCGCCUUCCCGGGGCUGUGUCCGUGCCCCCUGAAGUGAAUGUGGGGGUCCUACACCC